rnacentral:rRNA from 1 species
AAAUUGAAGAGUUUGAUCAUGGCUCAGAUUGAACGCUGGCGGCAGGCCUAACACAUGCAAGUCGAACGGUAGCACAGAGAGCUUGCUCUCGGGUGACGAGUGGCGGACGGGUGAGUAAUGUCUGGGAAACUGCCUGAUGGAGGGGGAUAACUACUGGAAACGGUGGCUAAUACCGCAUAACGUCGCAAGACCAAAGAGGGGGACCUUCGGGCCUCUUGCCAUCAGAUGUGCCCAGAUGGGAUUAGCUUGUUGGUGAGGUAACGGCUCACCAAGGCGACGAUCCCUAGCUGGUCUGAGAGGAUGACCAGCCACACUGGAACUGAGACACGGUCCAGACUCCUACGGGAGGCAGCAGUGGGGAAUAUUGCACAAUGGGCGCAAGCCUGAUGCAGCCAUGCCGCGUGUAUGAAGAAGGCCUUCGGGUUGUAAAGUACUUUCAGCGGGGAGGAAGGUGUU